rnacentral:rRNA from 1 species
UCAUGGCCGUCGUCAGUUCGUACCGUAAGGCGUUCUCUUGAGUGAGAUAACGAACGAGACCCUCAUCUAUAAUUGCUACUUCAUUCUCCGGAAUGGAGGCACAUUAUCGAGACCGCUGGCGCUAAGUCAGAGGAAGGAGAGGUCAACGGUAGGUCAGUAUGCCCCGAAUCUCUUGGGCUACACGCGCGCUACAAAGGGCGGGACAAUGGGCUACGACGCCGAAAGGCGAAGUCAAUCUCGAAACCCGUCCGUAGUUCGGAUUGAGGCUUGUAACUCAGCCUCAUGAAGCAUGGAUUCCGUAGUAAUCGCGAAUUA